UGAACGCUGGCGGCGUGCCUAACACAUGCAAGUCGAACGAAGCACUUUCCCGAGGAAGAGGCGUGCUUGCACAAAUCGGACUCAAUUAAAGUGACUUAGUGGCGGACGGGUGAGUAACGCGUGGGUAACCUGCCUUAUACAGGGGGAUAACAGUUAGAAAUGACUGCUAAUACCGCAUAAGCGCACGGUAUCGCAUGAUACAGUGUGAAAAGCGUAACGGUAUAAGAUGGACCCGCGUCUGAUUAGCCAGUUGGUGAGGUAACGGCUCACCAAAGCGACGAUCAGUAGCCGGCCUGAGAGGGUGAACGGCCACAUUGGGACUGAGACACGGCCCAAACUCCUACGGGAGGCAGCAGUGGGGGAUAUUGCACAAUGGGGGAAACCCUGAUGCAGCCGACGCCGCGUGAGUGAUGAAGUAUUUCGGUAUGUAAAGCUCUAUCAGCAGGGAAGAAAAUGACGGUACCUGACUAAGAAGCCCCGGCUAACUACGUGCCAGCAGCUGC
rnacentral:rRNA from 1 species